GAUGAACGCUAGCUACAGGCUUAACACAUGCAAGUCGAGGGGCAGCAUUUUAGUUUGCUUGCAAACUGAAGAUGGCGACCGGCGCACGGGUGAGUAACACGUAUCCAACCUGCCGAUAACUCCGGAAUAGCCUUUCGAAAGAAAGAUUAAUACCGGAUAGCAUACGAAUAUCGCAUGAUAUUUUUAUUAAAGAAUUUCGGUUAUCGAUGGGGAUGCGUUCCAUUAGUUUGUUGGCGGGGUAACGGCCCACCAAGACUACGAUGGAUAGGGGUUCUGAGAGGAAGGUCCCCCACAUUGGAACUGAGACACGGUCCAAACUCCUACGGGAGGCAGCAGUGAGGAAUAUUGGUCAAUGGGCGAGAGCCUGAACCAGCCAAGUAGCGUGAAGGAUGAAGGCUCUAUGGGUCGUAAACUUCUUUUAUAUGGGAAUAAAGUUUUCCACGUGUGGAAUUUUGUAUGUACCAUAUGAAUAAGGAUCGGCUAACUCCGUGCCAGCAGCCGCGGUAAUACGGAGGAUCCGAGCGUUAUCCGGAUUUAUUGGGUUUAAAGGGAGCGUAGGUGGAUUGUUAAGUCAGUUGUGAAAGUUUGCGGCUCAACCGUAAAAUUGCAGUUGAAACUGGCAGUCUUGAGUACAGUAGAGGUGGGCGGAAUUCGUGGUGUAGCGGUGAAAUGCUUAGAUAUCACGAAGAACUCCGAUUGCGAAGGCAGCUCACUAGACUGUCACUGACACUGAUGCUCGAAAGUGUGGGUAUCAAACAGGAUUAGAUACCCUGGUAGUCCACACAGUAAACGAUGAAUACUCGCUGUUUGCGAUAUACAGUAAGCGGCCAAGCGAAAGCAUUAAGUAUUCCACCUGGGGAGUACGCCGGCAACGGUGAAACUCAAAGGAAUUGACGGGGGCCCGCACAAGCGGAGGAACAUGUGGUUUAAUUCGAUGAUACGCGAGGAACCUUACCCGGGCUUAAAUUGCAACAGAAUAUAUUGGAAACAGUAUAGCCGUAAGGCUGUUGUGAAGGUGCUGCAUGGUUGUCGUCAGCUCGUGCCGUGAGGUGUCGGCUUAAGUGCCAUAACGAGCGCAACCCUUAUCUUUAGUUACUAACAGGUCAUGCUGAGGACUCUAGAGAGACUGCCGUCGUAAGAUGUGAGGAAGGUGGGGAUGACGUCAAAUCAGCACGGCCCUUACGUCCGGGGCUACACACGUGUUACAAUGGGGGGUACAGAAGGCGGCUACCUGGUGACAGGAUGCUAAUCCCAAAAACCUCUCUCAGUUCGGAUCGAAGUCUGCAACCCGACUUCGUGAAGCUGGAUUCGCUAGUAAUCGCGCAUCAGCCAUGGCGCGGUGAAUACGUUCCCGGGCCUUGUACACACCGCCCGUCAAGCCAUGAGAGCCGGGGGUACCUGAAGUGCGUAACCGCGAGGAGCGCCCUAGGGUAAAACUGGUGACAG
rnacentral:rRNA from 1 species